rnacentral:rRNA from 1 species
UACAGAGGGGGCAAGCGUUGUUCGGAAUUACUGGGCGUAAAGGGCGCGUAGGCGGCCUGUUAAGUCGAACGUGAAAUCCCCGGGCUCAACCCGGGAACUGCGUCCGAUACUGGCAGGCUUGAAUCCGGGAGAGGGAUGUGGAAUUCCAGGUGUAGCGGUGAAAUGCGUAGAUAUCUGGAGGAACACCAAUUGCGAAGGCAGCUCACUACACGAAUAUUGCACUGAGGCACGAAAAGCGUGGGGGAUCAAA